rnacentral:rRNA from 1 species
CCUACGGGGGGCAGCAGUGGGGAAUAUUGGACAAUGGGGGGAACCCUGAUCCAGCCAUGCCGCGUGUGUGAAGAAGGCCCUCGGGUUGUAAAGCACUUUCAGUGAAGAAGAACGCCUGGUGGUUAAUACCCAUCAGGAAAGACAUCACUCACAGAAGAAGCACCGGCUAACUCCGUGCCAGCAGCCGCGGUAAUACGGAGGGUGCGAGCGUUAAUCGGAAUUACUGGGCGUAAAGCGCGCGUAGGUGGCUUGAUAAGCCGGUUGUGAAAGCCCCGGGCUCAACCUGGGAACGGCAUCCGGAACUGUCAAGCUAGAGUGCAGGAGAGGAAGGUAGAAUUCCCGGUGUAGCGGUGAAAUGCGUAGAGAUCGGGAGGAAUACCAGUGGCGAAGGCGGCCUUCUGGACUGACACUGACACUGAGGUGCGAAAGCGUGGGUAGCAAACAGGAUUAGAUACCCCGGUAGUC